rnacentral:rRNA from 1 species
ACUGAACGCUGGCGGCAGGCCUAACACAUGCAAGUCGAACGAGUGGCGGACGGGUGAGUAAUGCCUGGGAAACUGCCCGAUGGAGGGGGAUAACUACUGGAAACGGUAGCUAAUACCGCAUACUAUCAGAUGUGCCCAGAUGGGAUUAGCUUGUUGGUGGGGUAACGGCUCACCAAGGCGACGAUCCCUAGCUGGUCUGAGAGGAUGACCAGCAACACUGGAACUGGACCACGGUCCAGACUCCUACGUGAGGCAGCAGUGGGGAAUAUUGGACAAUGGGCACAGUCCUGAUGCAGCCAUGCCGCGUGUAUGCAGAAGUCCUUCGGGUUGUAAGGUACUUUCAGCGGGGAGGCGUUACCCGCAGAGGAAGCACCGGCUAACUCCGUGCCAGCAGCCGCGGUAAUAC